UGAGACACGAAUCCAGGCCCUACGGGGCGCAGCAGUCGCGAAAACUUCACAAUGGAGGCAACUCCGAUGAGGGAAUUCCUAGUGCCAAUGCAUUUUGCGUUGGCUUUUCUUCAGCGUAGAUAACUGAUGGAAUAAGGGCUGGGUAAGACGGGUGCCAGCCGCCGCGGUAAUACCCGCAGCCCAAGUGGUGGUCGAUAUUAUUGAGUCUAAAACGUUCGUAGCCGGUUCAAUAAAUCUCUGGGUAAAUCGGAGGGCUUAACCUUCCGAAUUCCGGAGAGACUGUUGAACUUGGGACCGGGAGAGGCAAGAGGUACUUCUGGGGUAGGGGUAAAAUCCUGUAAUCCUAGAAGGACCACCGGUGGCGAAGGCGUCUAGCUAGAACGGAUCCGACGGUGAGGGACGAAGCCCUGGGUCGCAAACGGGAUUAGAUACCCCGGUAGUCCAGGGUGUAAACGCUGCAGACUUGGUGUUGGGAACCCUUCGGGGGUGCUCAGUGCCGGAGAGAAGUUGUUAAGUCUGCUACUUGGGGAGUACGUCCGCAAGGAUGAAACUUAAAGGAAUUGGCGGGGGAGCACCGCAACGGGAGGAGCGUGCGGUUUAAUUGGAUUCAACACCGGAAAACUCACCAGCAGCGACUGUUACAUGAAAGUCAGGUUGAUGACCUUACCAGAUUUUCAGAGAGGUGGUGCAUGGCCGUCGUCAGUUCGUACCGUAAGGCGUUCUCUUAAGUGAGAUAACGAACAAGACCCUCACCAAUAGUUGCUACCGUAUCCCCCGGGGUACGAGCACACUAUCGGGACCGCUGGCGCUAAGUCAGAGGAAGGAGAGGUCAACGGUAGGUCAGUAUGCCCCGAAUCUGCUGGGCUACACGCGCGCUACAAAGGGCGGGACAAUGGGCUCCGACGCCGAAAGGCGAAGGUAAUCUCGAAACCCGUCCGUAGUUCGGAUUGAGGGUUGUAACUCACCCUCAUGAAGCUGGAUUCCGUAGUAAUCGCGAAUCAACAACUCGCGGUGAAUAUGCCCCUGCUCCUUGCACACACCGCCCGUCAAACCACCCGAGUUGGGUUUCAGUAAGGAUAUCUCUCAUUGGGGUCUUCGAACUGAGAUUCAGCAAGGAGGGUUAAGUCGUAACAAGGUAUCU
rnacentral:rRNA from 1 species